UAAAUAGCCACCACUAGGCAGCUUCUACCAAGUUAUGUAGCCCUGCACCUUAGAUGCUGCUGCACUAUAUACAUAGACUUGAAAUCACUGGCCACUUAAUAAUGGAACAUGUGCAUGUGACAAAUAAAAUUGGAUUUGGAUUUUUAUUCAUGUGGUCCUUCUAUGUCAUGGAAAGAGCAGGUGUUCUUAAUGUUUUGAAUACUCAGUGACUAUGUCUAUGCUGUGAAGUGCAUCAAGAAGGUGUCAGUGAAACACUAACAGACCUAACUCUUAUUUCCUCUUAUGGAUCUACAAAAUUAACCUCAAGCACGCAAACACAUAGACUCACUUCUGCAAUCAAUUUAUGUUCUGUGGUAUUAUCUGUAAUAAGAGCAAGAGUGACAUUAUCCUCAAAUCUGUAGUUCUGAGUAUCUAGUUCUCUAUGAUUCAUGUAAACACUCACAGUGCGUGUUUUUAGAAUCAGCUCAGUUCCAUAUCUGUACACACUGAACUCCAGUUUACACCACUAAACACACUAUGCUUGAUUUACAUUUGGUUGAGUUGUCAACUGAUGUGAAUUCAUCAUGAAAUCAACAACCAAAUAUCACCAUGUCAUUGGAUUUGGUUAAACAUUGGGAGAAAAGACAACAAAUGGCCGUAUGUUGCUGACUUUUUACAAAUCCAAUCAGUUUUCCACGUUGAUUCAACGUCAUCACAUAGAUUUCUGGGGUUGAAAUGACGUGGAAACAACAUUAAUUCAAUCAGUGGGAUAACACUGCAUUAGAACCUUAAGUCAACUAUCACUCUAUAUUGACUACUAGCACUACCAAAACACACUAAUCACAGCUCGCUCACUCACUCACUCACUCACUCACUCACUCACUCACUCACUCACUCACUCACUCACUCACUCACUCACUCACUCACUCACUCACUGACUGACUGACUGACUGACUGACUGACUGACUGACUGACUGACUGACUGACUGACUGACUGACUGACUGACUGACUGACUGACUGACUGACUGACUGACUGACUGACUGACUGACUGACUGACUGACUGGUGUGUCCAGCAGUGAAAGCAGCACCAGCUCAGGGUUCAAGGAGCAGAGAGAGACGAGCCAAAAAGUUUAUCUACACAUCAUUUGCUCUCUUUCUUUCUCUCUUUCUCUCUCCAGGUGUCUCCAAGUGUCCUCUUCUCCUGGAGAAUCUCAUGUCCUACAGUUUCCAGGUGGCUCGAGGCAGAGUUCCUCACCUCAUAGAGAGACUUGGCUUGAGUAUAACUGGUGUGUGUUUGUCUGUAGUUACAGCACCAUGCUGGGAGGCUAACCCCUCAGCCCAUCCCACCUUCACUGGCUUACUGGAAUCACUGGGAGAUCUGCUGGAGGCACGGGCUCAACAGCUACAUGAACACCAGGAGCACAGCAACACUCAGGACCUUUGAGGAGCUGCCAUGAAAGAGCCUGCCUGGCCCUGACGACGAUGACAGAAAACACCCCUCCAGGCUGUGUAAGGGCUAUUUGACCAAGAAGGAGAGUGAUGAAGUGCUGCAUCAGAUGACCUGUCUGGGUUGGCGCCCCCCCCUUGGGUUGUGCCAUGGCGGAGAUCUUUGUGGGCUAUACUCAGCCUUGUCUCAGGAUGGACCUGAGCCCUAGGACCCUGCCCCAGGACUACCUGAAAUGAUGACUCCUUGCUGUCCCCAGUCCACCUGGCCGUGCUGCUGCUCCAGUUUCAACUGACCUGAGCCCUAGGACCAUGCCCCAGGACUACCUGACAUGAUGACUCCUUGCUGUCCCCAGUCCACCUGACCGUGCUGCUACUCCAGUUUCAACUGUUCUGCCUUAUUAUUAUACGACCAUGCUGGUCAUUUAUGAACAUUUGAACAUCUUGGCCAUGUUGUUAUAAUCUCCACCCGGCACAGCCAGAAGAGGACUGGCCACCCCACAUAGCCUGGUUCCUCUCUAGGUUUCUUCCUAGGUUUUGGCCUUUCUAGGGAGUUUUUCCUAGCCACCAUGCUUCUACACCUGCAUUGCUUGCUGUUUGGGGUUUUAGGCUGGGUUUCUGUACAGCACUUUGAGAUAUCAGCUGAUGUACGAAGGGCUAUAUAAAUACAUUUGAUUUGAUUUGACCUGUCCUCCACAAUCACACAAACUCAACCCCAUUGAGAUGGUUUGGGAUGAGUUAGACUGCAGAGUGAAGGAAAAACAGCCAACAAGUUCUCAGCAUAUGUGGGAACUCCUUCAACACUGUUGGAAAAGCAUUCCAGGUGAAGCUGGUCAAGAGAAUACCAAGUGUGCAAAGCUGUCAUAUCAAGGAAAAGGGUGGCUACUUUGAAUAAUCUAAAAUAUUUUGAUUUAACACUUUUUUGGGU